GUGUCCAGUGUGGUUCGCUGUGGACUAACGUGGGCUGUCCCCAAUUCAGCCCGGGACAAAUGGGAUAACAAUACUGCAUGGGUCAUGUCGCCUCCAAAGAAGCUGCUCCACCAUGUUCUGCUCCGCAACCAGUCCGUCCCUGCGCCAGGUUUCAUGUCCUGACUGGACAAGGAGUGGUUUCCAGAAGAACACUUGUGUGUGGCCUCGGGUUGGUGGCUGAGGUGAAUGUCGACUUCACGAAGUGAUUCGCCGCUCAGCCAGGACAAAGUGGUAGCGGUCCUGGGCUCCAGCAGACCGGCAGGACAAACUGGGUGCUGACUGAGCGGCAUCACCAGCUGUCCUAGAAGCGCCCCCUGCUCAUCAACCAGACAACUGUUCAUAUUGCUGCCGUCGGCCAGCGAGGGGAUUCGGGUGAAACCCGGUAGAUAUUUGUGCAGAAAUGAUAGCGCGGGCCUGGACAGCACGGAAAGCAGGCCGAUCCACGGACUUUCCUGACUCUCGAGGCCGGCGGAGGCCACGCUGAGGCCGGCAGGAGAGGACAAGCUCUGCCCGCACGGUAACUGUCCCUCGUUAGCCCUGUUUCCAAACAUCUUCUACAAACUACAAGGUGCCAAACUGAGAUGAUCUCCACAUACAACACGGAACUUCCGUCGGUUUCAAGAAAACGUGAGCUAUAGCAGGUUAGCGGCUAAUGCGACAGCUGUCAUUCGAAAGCAGGCUGCAGCAGCACCAAAACGUCUUCUUGAGAGGAAAAAUAAAGUCUAGACUGUCCACGGAGACAUUGUCCUUACACUGACUGGACAGCACAACGGCCAUCGGAACAGAGAGGAACCCAAGAAAUGUCGUCGCUUUCCCAGCCGAGCUCCGCCGCGGUUCGCUGUGAGCGGUGAUUGGACUUCUUUCUAGCCGACAACUUGGAGAAGACGUUGGGGGAGCUGGACAGCGUAGAUAGACGGAGCACACUUAACUUUGACGACAAAAAUCGAGCCAUUGUGAUGUACUUUUUCUUCCAGAAAGCGGGCAGCUAGCUGUCCUGCGUUGCACGUUAGCAGGUUAGCAGCGAGGCAACGGCCGGGCCCCCGAGCAACGGCGAUUUACUAAAAAAAAAAAAAAAAUCCCACACCACAAGACUAGGUGUUAGUUUUUGUGUCGUCUACAAAACAAUACAGUUCUUUCUGACAGAAUACUGACUGGAGAAGCCUUCUAGAGCAAAGUUUCACCGAAAGAGUCGUUGCCGUCCGUCGAGAGUGAGAUUUCAUCAGAAACUUUUGGGAUCGUCUGCCAGCCUAAAAGCGAAAAAAGACAUCCGGGGAGCGUCGCUGUGUUACUGAACCACAGGAAAGCGUAUCGACCAGCUGCUGUUACAUAACAACACACAGGCGAGUGUUCUGCUACGUCAUCAUCUUCUGCUGCAUGCUGCCAGUGGCAUGAAAUUCUGUUGCUCCGUUCCUGUGUGUCUCUCUGUGCUGCUCCCUGUCCGACCCCAGUACCUGGCCCCUCACACACAAACACAGACCAGCGAGGUGCAGCGGUCUCACUCACUCGGCUGCAGCAGAGGAGACAACUUGAGAAACUGUUUUUUUUACACCAUGGCAGAGGGGAAGAGGAAGGUGUGGAGCCACUUCAUAAAAGACUCAACAGGUGUUACAUUAGAGACCAACAUCUGCAGUGUGCAAGUUAACCAACACUCCAGCACCCGCAAAGCAAAGAAUACUACAAAUUUGUGGCAACACCUAAAAGUAAAUCACAGAGUGCCAUGUCUUUAUGUUGACAGUGUUACUAACUAAAGUUCCUUAUUUGAUUUAGUAUUCUUCUGCUUCUUUUUGUUGAAUCGUAUUUUGGGUAGUAAAAGAAUUAUACAGCAUGAAUAUCCUGUGUAUAUCAAUGCUCUUAGUUCAUAUAUCGGCCAAGUGAAAAAGUGUUUGCCCCCUUCCUGAUUUCUUUUUUUUUUUGCAAUUUUGUGGCAUUUAAAUGUUUCAGAUCAUCAAACAAGAUUAAAUAUUAGUCAAUGACAACACAACUGAAGACAAAAUGCAAUUUUGAAAUGAAACUUUUUAUUAUUCCUACAUGACCGUAGGUGAAAAAGUGAUUGCAUUCCAAGACGAAAACCGCUGCUCAACAAAAAGAACAUUAAAGCUUGUCUCAAUUUUGCCAGAAAACAUCUUGAUGAUCCCUAAGACCUUUGUGAAAAUACUCUGGUCUGACAAGACAAUAGUUGAACUUUUUGGAAGGUGUGUGUCCCAUUACAUCUGGUGUAAAAGUAAUGCCGCAUUUCAGAAAAAGAACCUCAUACCAGCAGUAAAAUAUGGUGGUGGUAGUGUGAUGGUCUGGGGCUGUUUUGCUGCUUCAAGACCUGCAAGACUAGCUGUGAUUUAAUGGAAACAUGAAUUCUGCUGUCUACCAAAAAAUCCUGAAGGAGAAUGUCCGGCCAUCUGUUUGUGACCUCAAGCUGAAACCAACUUGGGUUCUGCAGCAGGACAAUGAUCCAAAACACACCAGCAAGUCCACCUCUGAAUGGCUGAAGAAAAACAAAAUGAAGACUUUGGAGUGGCCUAGUCAAAGUCCUGACCUGAAUCCCAUUGAGAUGCUGUGGCAUGACCUUAAAAAGGCACUUUGUGCUGGAAAACCCUCCAAUGUGGCUGAAUGACAAGAAUUCUGCAAAAUUCCUCCACAGCGCUGUAAGAGACUCAUUGCAAGUUAUCACAAACACUUGAUUGCAGUUGUUGCUGCUAAGGGUGGCCCAACCAGUUAUUAGGUUUAGGAGGUAAUCACUUUUUCACACAGGACCAUGUAGCUUUGGAUUAUUUUUUUCUGCC